CAUGACCACGCCCCCCCGGCGAUAUAAAACGGCGUCGCUGGGGUGGUUUAGACCUUUAUAGUAGUACAAAGUAGGGGUGGAGGUGUUUGCAGCGCUCAGAGGAGGACAACGCCAGAAGAAAAAGGCCAGGGAUUGCUCCCACGCCUCCUCGAGGCCGCGUUUGGAAAGGCCCGGCCACCGCGAAGAGUUUGGCUCUGCAAGCAUCAGUCUACCAGCAGGGCUGAAGCGUUUGGCCCAAGGACCCCAGGCAUUCUCAGGAGACACUGACUAAGAGACAACAUCCUGGUGACGGCAGGCACUCACUGGACGGUGAGGCGGCCUUCCCUCAUGCCCCAUGUGGAUUCUCACCCCCGGGCAUCUGAGAGCUAAGUCAAAGGCUGCAACCCGCAGAGGGGAUGAAAGCAGGGUGCCAGGUCUGGGACUCAUGGCCAGGGAUUUUUGAGUCAGUUUUGGAGACGGGGCGGUCCCAGCUGUGGCCCCUUAGGCCACGUCAAGGGAAUGUGGCACUACUGGGAAGGGUGAGAAGCAUGACACAGACUCUCUUGUGAGUUGAAUAGGAGAGUGAGGUUUAUUACCUCAGAUCUUUUAUAGACUGACACGCAAAAGUACUGAAAGGUAAAAUUCUUAUUAGUCAGUGAACUAACACAUUACUAUCAUUGGUUAGUGGGGUACACUACCCUUUGACUUUCUUUUGUAAGAAAACAAGAAACUGACAAACAGCACCUGCAAGGCUGUCUUCUGUCUUUAAGGAUUGUUUUAAUUCUUUUUUAUGAUUUCUCAGGCCACUUUCUUAGGCAAGACUGAGAAAGUUAUGCAGCCUGCUUUUCCACAGGCACUGUGCUCCUUGCUUUUGCUCAUAUUUAGGAUCCAUAAGGGAAAACCCUUAUUUUGGCUCACAUGUGCUGAGGUGCACAGGGCAGAACAUGCCCGGGGUGUGCUGUGUCACUUGUCUACCGUGCCUUCUGUGUUUUGUGCAUCUCAUGUUGUGUGUGCCUCACCUUAGCUCUUCCAGGGGCUUACAGGAAACCAUGGUGUCACUCUUGGCAUCUCUGAUCUCUGUAUUCCUUGGCCCAGUGCUGAGGCCAUGGAAGCUUUGGCUCGGGAGCUCAGAGGGGCCUUGGAAUCACAUCUCUCUUUAGAUGCGUCCGAUCAGAUGUCUUUUAAGGUCUUGUUCUGAGCUGUAUCGAUAGCCGUGCUCCACAAGGAUCUGUUGUUGUGGAUUAGUACAAAUGCAAGGAUAGGUGGAGGAUGGUGGCCAUAAGAUUCCCGGGCAUCCAUCUUGGUGGUUCGUGGACUAAGUUGUUCUGUUAGCAUCUUCUUCCUCCCAGGAAGAAGCCUUGUGGGCUCGCCGUCUUUCUCACCUGGGUCAUCUGGUUCAGCAUUCUCUCGGUCCUUGUGGCCAUUCUUCUGGCCAAGAGUUUUCCCUCCCUGUUGCGUCCCCUUGUUUGUCACCUUCUGUGUCACGGGUGUCUGGGUGUAUUUGGCACGGAGUUGCUCUGCCCUGCUGCCUAGUCUGGGUAUAGGUGUAAAAGGACAAGUCCCAGGCACCUGUAAUUUGAAAUUUGGAAUGUAGGGUGUAGUUGGAGUCUGGAUGGUAUUCCUAGAUUGACACAAGAUGUCUGGAGCUGUGAAGUUAUCCUGCAGCACUUUGACUUCUGUCUUAGCUUGCUUUCAGAUGUGGGUAGAUUAAAUCCAUGGCAGAGCGCCUCAUCCAGGUGAGGGGGUUCCCCUGAGAUUGUCAGUCACUGUUUGUGACUGCUGCUCAUCCCUGGUUUUGUUUUGGGAUUUUUUCCCCAGUUUUUGUUAGUUUUGGUGUGGGUUUUUUGUUUUUUUUUUCUUUUGCCUCAUACAUGUUCUUAUUCUCUCUGGUGCUCCCCAUGCCAGUGUUUCCCACUAGAUUCUUGUGUCCUCUUCCCUGUCACUGUUCUUUUAAUCUCUUUCUGUCUUGCUGCCCAUCCCAGGAUUUUUGUUUGGUUGUUUUGGUUUUCCCCUGGGGUUUUUUUGGGGUUUCUUUUUGGGUUUCUUUUUUGCCUCACUCAUGUUCUUUCUUUAUUUCUGGUGGCCAUAUCAUGCUCCCAGUUCCACUGUUUCCCCCUGAAUCCUCGUGUCCUGUUCCCUGUCCUUGUUCUGUUUUGCUCCUCUGUUGUGCUGCUCAUCCUUUUUUCUUUUUUUUUUUUUUUUUUUUUUUUUCCAAUUUCAUCCUGCACCCCAUUCUUCCUGUCUUUCUUCUUCUUUUUCUGCCUCUGGCCUUUGACUGGGGGUUCUGGGGAGGAAUUUCUGGGACCUGCCCCCCUUUCUUGUUGCAGCAGAGCUCCUUUUUGGGGGGAUCUACACCUGGAAAGGGUUCCAAUAAAGCAAGGUGUUGCUGUUCAGGGCA